AGUAAUAGUGACACCCCCAGACCUGGAGAGAGGCCGCUCCGGUGGGGUUCCACUUGGGCACCACGCGUGGUGUAGUCUGGGGUACAUUAUUUCUUUAAGCCAUGUGAACUCCAGCUGCCAACCUACAAGGAGGAUGAUGCAACUAUCUACUUCAUGGAUUAUUCUGAGGACAAAAGGAGCCAACCCACGUACAAUGCACGACUCUUCACCCAGGACUAAGAAGCGUUCACUGUAGUGGCUUCUGUUUUUGAUGCUGUAUCAGUAAGUCAUCAGUUUAAUGCAACGAGCAACAUCUGAUCCCUCUGUCUGAGAUUCCUGAGAAGGAACCCGGGCAGUUGUUUCUUGGUUUGGGGCAGAGGAAGAAGUGAUACAUAUGGUGUCGAGAUGCUGGCACUGGAUCUCACCCUUCCUCUGUACAACUGUCCUUCAUGUGAUAGGACCACAUUUGUCACCAUCAUAGCUUCAUCCCAGGGCCAGUCUCCACCUCAUCCAGAGGCAGUUAAUAAAUGCUCCUUUAAUAGA